rnacentral:rRNA from 1 species
UACAGAGGGUGCUAGCGUUGUUCGGAAUCAUUGGGCGUAAAGGGCGUGUAGGCGGUUUGUUAAGUCAUGUGUGAAAUCCCUCGGCUCAACCGGGGAACGACGCAUGAAACUGGCAAGCUAGAGUACCAAAGAAGGGGGUGGAAUUCCCGGUGUAGCGGUGAAAUGCGCAGAUAUCAGGAGGAACACCGGUGGCGAAGGCGGGUCUCUGGGCCGAUACUGACGCCGAGGAGCGAAAGCGUGGGGAGCGAACAGG